AGGAUGCUUUGAUUUAAUUUAUUAAAAUACUAACAGUUGUAUUUUGGUCCAUGUUCAAUUACCUGUCCAUGUUGCUAACUUAAAUAUAGUUUUUUUUCUGUAGGUUGGCAUCGAUUCCUGUUGCUUCUGGGCAACACCGUUUUCAGUACUUCAAACUACGUUGAUGUUAUCUUUGCAGCAUGGGAGAACUUUUCAUAUAGUUAUUUUGGAACCGUGACACUAAUACCUGCAGAAACUUUGCACAGCUUUUUGGAAUUGUUAUUCUGGCAUAAAAUUUCAUCCCAUCAUCUGAGAGUUACGAUUCAAGGUGACAAAAUAAUUGUUUUAUUGUGUUGACUAUAAAAGCAAUAGGUGGUGAUCUCACUAUAUAUGAGCGAACUUCUCUGAUGAACUACAUGAUGAAUGAAACAAUACAGGUGCUGGUAUACUAUCCAUGGCAAACUGCGGGCUAAACACAAAUGGAGCUAAGUUUUUUUAUAACACUUUGUUAUUGAGAACUUGUGUGUGAUUGUAAGAAAUAGUAAUUAGUGUAUAAUUAAAAAUUUAUUAUAGCCCCAACACAAUAGCUUCAUGGCAUGCACUCCAUAUUUAGAAAGAUCUACUAUGGCAUGUCUGUUGUGAAACGGAUUGGGUUUGUUGUAACCGAUAAAGAUGACAGGCCAACUGAUAAAGUGAAAAUUGUGAAAUGUA